CCUACGGGUGGCUGCAGUGGGGAAUAUUGGACAAUGGGGGGAACCCUGAUCCAGCCAUGCCGUGUGUGUGAAGAAGGCCCUCGGGUUGUAAAGCACUUUCAGUGAGGAAGAACGCCUGGUGGUUAAUACCCAUCAGGAAAGACAUCACUCACAGAAGAAGCACCGGCUAACUCCGUGCCAGCAGCCGCGGUAAUACGGAGGGUGCGAGCGUUAAUCGGAAUUACUGGGCGUAAAGCGCGCGUAGGUGGCUUGAUAAGCCGGUUGUGAAAGCCCCGGGCUCAACCUGGGAACGGCAUCCGGAACUGUCAAGCUAGAGUGCAGGAGAGGAAGGUAGAAUUCCCGGUGUAGCGGUGAAAUGCGUAGAGAUCGGGAGGAAUACCAGUGGCGAAGGCGGCCUUCUGGACUGACACUGACACUGAGGUGCGAAAGCGUGGGUAGCAAACAGGAUUAGAUACCCCUGUAGUC
rnacentral:rRNA from 1 species